CUCAAAUUACCCUUCUUUCUACAUAUAAACACGGCCCGGGGUGUGCGGCUCUCCCCGGCCGCGGGGUCCCCCCCGGCACAGCCCGGCUCCCCCGCACCGCCCCCGGCCCCGGCCGGAGGAAGUUUCUGCUGCGGGACACGGCAGGAGAAAACGAGCCGGAUACGGAACCCCCCGCUCUGCGUGGCUCCCCCGGGCCAGCGCUCAGGUGGUGUUGACAGAAGAGGAUGGGUAGGAGAUUUCAAUGGCAGGCACACGUGUCCCAGGAGAGGGUGAGACAACAACAGAGACAAAGCAAGAAAUGAACCUUGGACAGCUGCAGGAGAGAAACCCAAACCUUCUUUGGAAAGUGGGGUCACCUGCAGGCUGGGGGCACCCUAUGGAAUACCCAUCCCUCCAGACAUCCUGGAAGAUCAAGCAGCCAUCAGGAUCUGGCAUGGGUCCCAUCGGCAUUGGGACAGGUUCAGGACUGAGCGAGGGGCUGGGGGAGACCCCUCCUGAACAUCAGCUGCUCUGGUAGGGCUGUGCCAGAUCUCCACUGCAGCCAAAAAUGAUCUGGGGAAGAACAGACACCAAACUCCUCUGCAGCGGGGUGGGGCUGCAGGUGCAUGCCAGGCUCGGUGUGGGGACGCUCCCAGCUCCAUUGGCCCUCGCUGUGGUACCCACAAUUCCCAUGCAGGCUGCCAAGCCGAGCCCAGCAGAGACAUGAGCAGCCAGAAAGGGAAGGAAGGAAAGCGGGGGCAGCCGAAGUGACAGGGACCACAGCCUGGGCAUCCCUGUGCUGUUCGUGUGCCAGCGACUGGGAGCAGUGACGUGGUGCAUCCUCUUAUGACACGGACAUGCAAGGCAGGGUGCUCCUGGAGCAGAGCAGAGCAAUGGGGAGAGGGUGGGAGGUGCCACUCAGGACCCAUCACGCUGCUGGGAUGUGCCCACGGAUCGAUGGGGAAAUAUGAAAGGGACAACAAGGAACCAAGGGAAUACCUAAAGUAAAGGGCUGAAGACUGAACAUACGAAACAAAGGUGGUUCGGGCUCAGAUGGGAGAGAAAAUCCAUGUCUGGAGCAUGUCCUUCAGUGGAAGAUGAUUUCAGAGGGGUCAUGAAGGUUCGAACUGGCUGAGGGUUUGCCUGGGAAAGGUUGGGCUGAGGUUUCUAGUGUGAUUGCAAACAAGCCAGCUCUGCUGGGGAUGGCUGUGAUGUUUAUUCAUGGCAGGGAAGGAAGGGAGCAGCUGACUUUUAGAUCCCCAAAAGCGUAAAGAGGGGGAAUGGGCCCUUUCCCAUGACCAUGGACAAUGAUCGUACCCCUUCACCUCAGGGCUUUUCAGACGUCAGCCACGUCCCAAAAAUUAAAUGAUGAAGAAAGAGGGAAUAAACCCCAAUGCAAGCAAGGCAGCACAACCUCCUCCUCUGCCUUAGGGCUGUCCUUACUAAAGGUUCAACUGACCCUGGUUUUGGGACCUGAAAGGUGAACCCCAAACGCAGAACAAAUACCCCUUUUUGGGCAUCUCUCAUUUCACCCUUAGACCAGAGAUCCCCCCAUUUCCACAGCUGGGUGCAGCCUCCUGGUCCAACCAUCACAGCCUUUUGUCCCAUGCAAGAGCUUCCUUUGGGAAGGCAAAUUCAUUCCCAUAUGCACCUUCCUUGGUUUUCUUUGGGUCUGUGUCCCCCCCUUCCAGCAUCCCUUUACCCUAUUAAUAUCUUUUGACUGUCCUCACACCUGCAGACAAUCUGGUCCCAAACCACCUCCACCUCCCCCCUUCCUCAAAAGCUUCCCUCAGCUGUCUUUAAGUCGUAGCUGAAAUCUGCGGUAUGUAGGAGGAGAAAUUCAGUCUGACAGCAGUUUAAAACACCGCACUACUUGGCAGAUUUAAAUGCUAUUUUAAAUAUAAGCUAUGACACAACGGACAAAAAUAGCAUUGAAAAUACCCUGUCAUGUUCCAUAUUGCGAGGAAUAGGGAAGCAGACCAGGCUAGAAAGGAGCAGAGAGAGGGGCCAGAUGGAGAGGAGAGGUUAUUUUGUUUGUUUUAAAGAAACUGGAUAAAUGUAUUUUGUAUGUGACUGAGUAAAUGUGUUUUGUGGAGCAACGAGCCAAAAAUAAAUAAAUAAAUAAACCUU